UUUGUCAACGGAAUUGCUUGAGGACAAGCAAUGCUUUAUGCUUGGGGGAGUUGAUACGUCUCCGUCGUAUCUACUUUCCUAAACUCUUUUGCCCUUGUUUUGGACUCUAAUUUGCAUGAUUUGAAUGGAACUAACCCGGACUAACGCUGUUUUCAGCAGAAUUGCCAUGGUGUUGUUUUUGCGUAGAAAUAAAAGUUCUCGGGAUGACCUCAAAAUUUACGGAGAAUUUUACUGGAAUUUAUGAAAAAUACCGGUGCAAGAAUCAGCGGAGGAAGUGGAGCCGUGAGCCCACAAGCCCACCAG
rnacentral:lncRNA from 1 species